rnacentral:rRNA from 1 species
UACGGGGGGGGCAAGCGUUGUUCGGAAUUACUGGGCGUAAAGAGCGCGCAGGCGGCUGGUCAAGUCCGAUGUGAAAGCUCCCGGCUUAACUGGGAAAUUGCAUCGGAAACUGAUCGGCUGGAAGGUGGGAGAGGGUAGCGGAAUUCCCGGUGUAGUGGUGAAAUGCGUAGAUAUCGGGAGGAACACCAGUGGCGAAAGCGGCUACCUGGCCCAUUCUUGACGCUGAGGCGCGAAAGCUAGGGGAGCAAACGGG